rnacentral:lncRNA from 1 species
CUCCGACCAGGUGACGGCGUUAUCCUCCUCCACGUCCGUCCAACUUCCGUCCUCUACGGCGCUGAUUGGGGUGCUAUUGAUGUCUCCGUUGACACUACAAAUGAAGAAUCGCAGCAGAAAUUAGAAGAUGAUUUUGAUAACUUCACAACUACAAAAGCUAAUGAUUUAGCACAGCCGCUCGUUGAGGGGAAUAUACCGUUCAAGAUUCAUAUAGUGAAGGAUCAUGAUAUGAAAGAAAGGCUGUGUCUUGAAGUAGAGAGGUUGGGUUUGAGUGCAGUGAUAAUGGGGAGUAGAGGGUUUGGUGCUUCGAGGCGUAGCAUAAAAGGAGGGAGGCUAGGUAGUGUGAGUGAUUAUUGUGUGCAUCAUUGUGUUUGCCCAGUUGUUGUUGUUAGAUAUCCUGAUGAUAAAGAUGGGGUUGCUGCUGAUGAUGCAAAUGAAGGUUCAGUUAAAAAAGAGACAGAUGGGGUUCUUCACCCUGUGCCUGAGGAUGAACCUAUAUACCAUGAUGCCGAGGAUAAAGCUGCAGGUAUAUCUUAUUGAUUACAAUUUGUAAUUUCUUUGCAAGUAGGCAUUGAUUCUGUAUGUUUUUUGUUUAGUGAUAUAAGUUUUGUUUGAAUGAUUGGAUGUUGAUUACUACCUCAAAGGUCGUAACUUUAUAUGAUGGUUUAUGCAUUUGCACCUUUGUCUUUCAAUCUUUUUGUGUACCUUUAGGUAUGUGAAAGUGGUUUGUUGUAAUUACUCCAUCAAGGAGUUUGAUUAUUAGCUAGGAAAUGAGCUGAAUGUAGUUUUAUGUUGCAAUCAGCCAAGCUAGUUGUAAGUAAUGCCCUGGCAAAUUUUAUUUUGUUUCUUUACCAUUGGAUGAUUGUUGAUUGGAUGAUUUAUUACAGGAGAAUUUUAUGGGGUUGUAGCCUGUGAUCAGGUUUUGACUAUUUCACUUUGAUCAUUUAUUUUGGUUUCUGUCUUAUGUUCCUCUUUUUAGCCGUGCUUUCGUGUCAUUUUCUGAGCUGGUAUAUAUAUGUAAGCUUGCGCUUCAAACCAGUAGAUGAUACACCAUUAGCUGCAUUUGGAUUGCUGGGGUAAAAUUUAGGAGAAUAAAUUUCGUCACUGUUAAUCUAGUAGAGAUAAUUUAACUUUUGUAAAAAAAAAAUCCAUCUCUUUUUCCUCCUCCUUCCCUUGAACUCUAUUAGUUCUGCAUAUUCAACUACCUAAUCUUUCCUUGGAAUAUCAUGCUUAUGCUUUCUCAAUGCUAGAACAUCUGCAUUUUAGUUUGGGCAUUUUGUAUGCUGUUCACAUAUGCAAAUGCAUCUUUGGUACAAGAAAAUUCAGAAAAACAUAGUCACGAAUAAUAUAUUCUUUUUGGCUGCAAAAGAUAAUAUUUAUAUAUUAAAGAUAACCAUUACAUAUUGUAGCGUCAUUAAAUAUGGUUAUGCUUCUAGGUUAAGUAGUUUCUAAUUUGUCUGCCUCUAGUAGUACUACUACUACAACAACAACAAAGCCAGUGUAAUCCCACAAGUGGAGUAUGGGGAGGGUAAUGUGUACGCAUACCUUACCCCUACCUUGUGAAGGUAGAUAGGUUUCCGAUAGACCCUUGGCUCAAGGAACAAUUAAAUGGAAGCAACAAAUAAUAACAACAAGAAAUAACAAAGACACAACGUGUAAUAACAAAGAUCAGGUCAGAAAUAAGAAAUACAAGAAUAAUACUAAUACUACUGGUGAGAAUGACACAAUGUGUAAUAACAAAGAUCUAGGAAUAAGAAAAUAUAAGAAUAUUACUAAUACGACUGGUAAGACUAGGAGAAACUCUCGACUAACUGUCAACCUUCAACCCUAAUUAUCGACUUUCACACCUUCCUAUUGAGAGUCAUGUCCUGCCUAAUCACCUCUCCUCAGUACUUCUUUGGCCUGCUUCUACCCUUCCUAACCUCUCACACCUCCUAACCGGGGCAUCUAUGUCUCUCCGCCUCUAGUACCUCUAAGGCAAAUAAACGAGGAACUGCAAAAUGAACUGUGCUGGUACUAUUAGUCAGUUGCAUAUUGCUUCCAUAUUUAGCUAGUUUAUCUGCUACCCUGUUAUGUUCCCUGAAGUUGCACUACCUUGUAAGUACGUUCUUGAACUCUCUUCCCUUUUGCAGUGACGGAUUUGAUUUAUUCAACAUGAUAAGUUUUUGGUUACUGCUAAGCCCUCUUCUUCCCACAAACAAAACCAUUACUGAUACUCGCUCUUAUCAAGAGUAUCAACUGAAAGUUGCAAAGCAAGUUCUCACUUGACAAUUUAGUUUUCUCUUGUCUGGCUGUUUUAUUCUGUUGGUUCUCACUUGAGUUCUCUGAUGACAUUGCUUUUAUUUUUCAAAAUCAAAGCUAAUUGUAAACUAUUUCGAUAGUUGGUUCGUUUGAGGGG